AUGAAUAUGCCAAAGCACAGAUUUAUCACUUGGCUAGCCAUCCAAGAUAGAUUAAAAACCAGGCAGAGGCUUAAGAAGAUGGGCAUUGUUUAUAAUAGUUGUUGUCUCAUCUGUGGUGUACAGGAUGAAACUAAUCUCCAUCUACUUUUUGAUUAUCACUACAUCAGGUACUGCUGGAAUCAGAUUAAAGAUUGGCUUAACUGGAAUAUUUCGGCAACGAAUUUGCAGGACAUUAUAAGAGGCAAAGCUAGUAAGUUCAAGAACCAAGUCCUCUCGACUGCUGGAAAAUCAGGAAUGUUGUUUUAUGGAGUAGCAAGCUGCUGA